rnacentral:rRNA from 1 species
GACGAACGCUGGCGGCGUGCUUAACACAUGCAAGUCGAACGGAAAGGCCCCUUUGGGGGUACUCGAGUGGCGAACGGGUGCGUAACACGUGCGUAACCUGCCCUUGACUUCGGGAUAACUUCAUGAAACUGGGGCUAAUACCUGAUAGGAAUCCUUGCUGCAUGGUGGGGGUUGGAAAGCUUCGGCGGUUUUGGAUGGACUCGCGGCUUAUCAGGUUGUUGGUGGGGUAGUGGCUUACCAAGGCUUUGACGGGUAGCCGGCCUGAGAGGGCGACCGGCCACAUUGGGACUGAGAUACGGCCCAGACUCCUACGGGAGGCAGCAGUGGGGAAUAUUGCACAAUGGGCGGAAGCCUGAUGCAGCAACGCCGCGUGCGGGAUGACGGCCUUCGGGUUGUAAACCGCUUUCAGCAGGGGCGAAGCUUGUGGUGACGGUACCUGCAGAAGAAGCACCGGCUAACUACGUG